rnacentral:lncRNA from 1 species
CUAACAAUUAUUGGGUCUAACCCCAUCCCUAUCCUGGAGCAACUCCUUGCUAAUAGAGUGGUUGCGUGUUUCCGAUGCAAUUGAACCACUAUGACCAGUCGAGAACAAUCAACGUCGGUAACAUAUCCGCACAUCUACAAUGGUGGAAGACCUACGAACUUAAUAUUUAUAGGGAGGUUUGGAUUUAGGUCUCAUCUAAUCAGUCAUCAUAUGACUGAUCUAACUGGCAUGAGCUAAACCAAACCACUAAGCAACCUAAUUCAAGACCCAAUCUUUCAAAU